CAGAUUUUCAAUAAAAUUGCCUACCUUAGUGUAUUUGAAGAAUAGAACCCUUUACGUAGGUUAGCAGGUUUGGCCCUCUAACCAUUUUUUAGUAACUAUUUGCAUAAUUAGGUGCUGUGAUCAGUCUUUAAAAACAACUGGGAGGUUCAAGACUGUGUAUAUGUGUGUGAGUGUGUAUACGGAAGAGGGUGGUACUUAAAGUAAAAAAAAAUGACUAUGUUAUGAUUUUGUAUAGUUGAAUGUGCUUUCUGUAGCCUUCUUUAUACUAUUCAUCUGUUUAGCUUCUCUUGUGAUAGUGAAAUAAAAUUACACCAAAGUAACUCAUUUCAUAUUUAGAAUCUGAAUCAAGAUUUUUGUAAGCCUCUAAAAGAGGGCAAAAUAGAAUUUACUACUUUCUAUGCGUUCUGUAGCCUAGCUUGUUGGUCUUAAUAGUGUUGUUUAAGCAUGAUAUAUAAUUAUGCAAAUGAUAUUUAUUUCCCUUUCUUUUUGAACUUUGUUAGAGUUUCAUGGAAACUUUAAAAUUCUAAUCAAAAUAACUCAGUUGCUACUAGUUAUAGAAAUAGUUAAUAUUAAAUAACAGGAAGGGAACUUACUGAUUUAUGUCUUGGGUAGAAGGAUUCAGUACUGGCCCAUGGCUAUUUUUUUUAGCUAGGUCAUACUUUCCAUUUCCCUCCGCAAAAAUCAUGAUCAGAUUUACUACUCCAGAGCCCAUAGUUGAGGAUAAAAAACUUUCUUCUUACCAGAAAUCAUUUAAAAUCACUCUAUAAUAUUAGAGUGAAAUCUAAAGCUUAAUGUUCUAGUUAAGCUAAGGAAAUGCUUUAAUCCAUUAAAGAAAUUGAGUGUUUGCAAAAUGGUUGACUAUUGAAUAACAUGGGUUUGACCUGCACAGGUCCACUUAAACGUGAUUUCUUGCAAUAAAUAACUGCACUGUUUUCCAUUCACGGUAGAAAGUUCACAGAUGCAGAGGGCUGACUGAAUAGAUGCAUAGAUCGAUGCUAUUUUAUAUAGGGGACUUGAGCAUCCAUGGAUUUUGGUAUCCAUGAUGGGGUCCUGGAACUAACCACCUGUGGGUACUGAGGGACGAUUUAAGAUUUUGGAGAGUCAAAUGUUAUACUUAGAUUAGGGGUUGGUACCCCUAAUCCCCAUGUUCCAAGGGUCAACAGUAGUUGCUUUUAUUUUUAUUCUAAAAUUGGUAUGUUUGUUUUUCUUUAAAGUAGUACAGUUGCUACUAUGACUCUUGAGUGAAGUCUAUUCCCACGCCUACCGCCCCCCAAAAGAGGCAAGGGAAGGUUGAGGUUUGUGGUGGUGGGAUAAUAUGAAAAGUUUGUUACUUUUUCCCCCUUCAACAUAUGGCCAAAUAUAGAUUUAUCUUUGCAUUAAGCAAACUUAAAAUAAUUAGCAUCACAGAACUCAGGAAUUGUUUGCAAAAUGUGAAAUUUUUGUAUUUUUCACAAAAAGAAAACAAAAUGUUGAUUAUAUUGUAUUUAAUUUUUUUGUAGUCAGGCCAACCAAGAAAAGGUAUAUCUUUGGAUUUCUUAAAAUAAGCUACUCUGAAGUGCAGGCGUUUGUAGGAUAACAGAUUUAAGGGCUAUUUCAGCUAUACCUGAUUGUCUGAAACUAAUGGAAUUAGAAAUUAUUUUGGAGUGAUGAAUAUAAGCACCAUGACUAGAAUUCCCUUUAUGAUGUAUCUUCCCUUUUUCCAGUUUAGAUUGGUUACAAUUCUCUCCCCUUCUUAGGCCUCCUAGGAGAGGGGUGUUUUCCUACCAAUCCAUUGGAUGGGCAUCUGCCCAGCAGUUCCUAGUUUUUGAUUAAUGAGAAUUGCUGUGAUACCUCUAAUGGGAUUUUAUCUGGACAAUAACUUUGAUCAUUUGGAUAAUUAACCUAUUUCUCUGAAUAUUCAGUUAUGACAAAAUUAAAAAAUAGCAGUGUUUUAGAAGUGAGUUUGAUAGUGUGGGGGACUGUUGGGCAGGGAGAGUGUGCUUUGUUUUUGUUUUUUUUUUUUACCCCAUUCCAUGACCCCAUCUGUACUCAUAAAACAAAAAAUAAUUUUAGAUCUAUACACCUAUUUUAACCCUGGGAAAAGGAUAAUGUUAUAUCUCAACUGUAACCCAUGUCCAGAUAUAUCCUAUCUUAGUGAACUCCAGUUUUUUUGUUUAACAAUAAUUGAUUGGUGAUAAUUAUAGUAAGCAAUUACACAGAAUUCAGUUAAUACAGUGUAAGAUCACUGCUUUGUUUUUUUUAAAUGGUAGUUCUACAAGCACAUGGAGAGUACUUAUUUCCAGUGUUAGUUAUGGUUCAUUUCUGUUUCUAAGUAGUUUUUGUUCACAUUAAUAUCUCCUAGUAGAGUAUUUCCUUUCAAGGUCCUAUUCUUAGGUUCUUGUGGUAUAAUAGUCAUUUACUGUUUUACUCAUCAAGACUUCAAAUAGCCCCUCUGUGAAGAUUUCUAGUAUGUUUCCAUGUGGAGCUUUUGCCUUCUUUUUGUAUGUCACUAUAGUUUGGUCAUUUACAUAUUUCCCUUACUGUAAAAUAUCAAAAUGAGCACAUUGUAGAUUAUCACAUUUGAAUGGGUUGGAGCAAAUAAGGAUUGUGUAUUAUUAAGGGUAUGGGUAGGCAUUUCAGCCAUAUG